rnacentral:rRNA from 1 species
UGCAAYGWGAGUUGURCUAAGGUAGCAUAAUAAUUUGAUUUUUAAUUGAAAUCUGGGAUGAAAGGGGCAAUGAAAUUAUAWCUUUUUUUAUAAUAAAUUAAAAUUUUAUUUACAAGUGAAAAAGCUUGUAUAAUUUUAUAAGACGAGAAGACCCCAAGAAUUGUUGUUAAUAUAAGGUUAUAAGAUCUUAAUUAGACUUAGCUGGGGCGGCUUGUAAGUAUAAUAACCUUACAAAUAAGAAACUACCAUAGGAUUAGUUUGAAGUUUACAUAAUUAUUAGAAAAUUACCUUGGGGAUAACAGCGUAA